GUUGAUNCCUGGCUCAGGAUGAACGCUGGCGGCGCGCCUAAUGCAUGCAAGUCGAGCGACGCAUUCCCUCCCGGCAACGGCGGGGUCUGACGGAGCGGCGAACGGGUGCGUAACACGUGACCAAUCUGCCCCGAAGACCGGGAUAGCCCGGGGAAACCCGGAUUAAUACCGGAUGGCCUCAUCGGACCUCAUGGCCCGGUGAGUAAAGGCUCCGGCGCUUCGGGAUGAGGUCGCGUCCCAUCAGCUUGUUGGUGAGGUAACGGCUCACCAAGGCUACGACGGGUAGCUGGUCUGAGAGGACGAUCAGCCACACUGGAACUGAGACGCGGUCCAGACUCCUAUGGGAGGCAGCAGCAGGGAAUCUUGCGCAAUGGGCGAAAGCCUGACGCAGCGACGCCGCGUGGGGGAUGAAGGCCUUCGGGUUGUAAACCCCUUUCACGAGGGAAGAAGAUGACGGUACCUCGAGAAGAAGCCCCGGCCAACUACGUGCCAGCAGCCGCGGUAAUACAGAGGUCCCAAGCGUUGUUCGGAUUCACUGGGCGUAAAGAGUGCGUAGGCGGCUGGGUAAGUUUGAUGUGAAAGAUCCGAGCUCAACUCGGAAAUUGCAUUAAAAACUGCUUGGCUAGAGGGUCGGAAGGGAGACUGGAAUUCUCAGUGUAGCAGUGAAAUGCGUAGAUAUCGAGAGGAACACCGGUGGCGAAGGCGAGUCUCUGGACGAAUCCUGACGCUAAGGCACGAAAGCUAGGGUAGCAAACAGGAUUAGAUACCCUGGUAG
rnacentral:rRNA from 1 species